rnacentral:rRNA from 1 species
AACGAACGCUGGCGGCAUGCCUAACACAUGCAAGUCGAACGAAGGCUUCGGCCUUAGUGGCGCACGGGUGCGUAACGCGUGGGAAUCUGCCCUUUGGUUCGGAAUAACAGCUGGAAACGGCUGCUAAUACCGGAUGAUGACGAAAGUCCAAAGAUUUAUCGCCAGAGGAUGAGCCCGCGUUGGAUUAGGUAGUUGGUGGGGUAAAGGCCUACCAAGCCGACGAUCCAUAGCUGGUCUGAGAGGAUGAUCAGCCACACUGGGACUGAGACACGGCCCAGACUCCUUCGGGAGGCAGCAGUGGGGAAUAUUGGAAAAUGGGCGCAAGCCUGAUCAAGCAAUGCCGCGUGAGUGAUGAAGGCCCUAGGGUUGUAAAGCUCUUUUACCCGGGAAGAUAAUGACUGUACCGGGAGAAUAAGCCCCGGCUAACUCCGUG